CCCAGGUCUUCGAUGACUUUUUUUUUUUUAAUGCCAGGUCUGUGAUUGAACCCCACAUCUUUAGUCACUUAAUAUAAACACUAAAUUCCUAUGUAUUUGGUUUUCAUUACAUUUUCAUUUCCUUGGUUUUCAGCGUACACACACACACACACGCUGUUAACUUCGGGUGGUGUGUUGACAUGCACACAGGUUUGGUGUUGUACUGUAAAUGACCGACAUCUCCGCCCGACGACGGGUGGUGACAUGCAUGUAAACACAUUUCCAUCCAAUCUGAAUGUGUACGUCUGCUGUGACGGCAAAGGCCAGAGGGAGGUUUAUGUGACGAAGGACCAGGACCAGAAAUGUUGGUGACCCUGGUACAGGUUGAACUCUGCUUUGUUUUGUCUGAAACUAGAAGAAAAGAAAAAGCAGCCGAUUGUUUGUCUCUCUGUGUAUCUUCUCAACUCUCUCUCUUUCUGCUGCUUGCUUUUACUUUUUUUUGCCAAACUCAGUUCAAACCUGCUAAACUGAAUAUGUAGUGUUUCCUCUGACUAGUUGCUAAAUCAUUGCUAACCCAGUUGUUUGUUCUAUGCAGCGAUUUCAAUUAUUUUGACUUCAUCUCCCUGUUGGGAAACGUAGACACCUAUUUCCUGGUGGCAAGUUGUACUGUUGAACGUAGAACCAGAGAUUUGCUCUGAGCCUUCAUUUUUAAAUCGUAUUUUCUUUGUGCGACCCACAACUGCAGCCCUGAACACUUGACCGUCUCUUCUCAAAAUUAGGUAUUUAGUUUAGGCCGCGGUCGUACGUGGGCUGCAUUUCCACAGAGUGAUACUUCACAUUCCUGUUUUCGGCUCACAUGCUGUGUUCUCUUUUUCUUAUUGUGAUGACAAUUGUUUAUUCCCAUUAAAGCCACAUUUUUGAUGGGAUUUCCAAAGGGGUGUCUUGUUGGACAAAGUUUCUACAUUUUGUGGUGUUGUAUAGUUUUUACUCCUAUUUUGACCAUGUUUUAAUUUUCUCUUUUUUCUACAGAUUAUAUUACAUUAGGCAAGAAGUUGUUAGAAUUUUUCUUCAAACACUGAUAAUGAUCUUCAUAGGCUUUCCAACUCUUCUUCUUCAUAUACAUACAACAUAUUCCAUUGUACACUAAUAAAGCUGUUUUACUUCAGAUUGAAA